rnacentral:lncRNA from 10 species
ACAAUGGGAAACAGGGACUUCAAACAACAUCAUAAACGGGUCACAAGAAAAUAAGUUACUUUGAAAAGAACUAAAUCUUUCACCUGCUUCGUGUAAAACUUAUUCUGACCACGGCUGACAGGAGAUCAUCCAACCUAAGUAUAUCAAGUUUUCUGAAGAUGGCUUUUUUCCUGUAUUAUAUUGAGUACCUGCACCAUGAUGGAUAUAAUCAGACCCCCACUCAUCAACAAUGCUGCAAGUGCCAACCUUGGAGAAUUUUUAAUUGGUUUAGAAAUGAUGUGAGUUUAUCUGUACGACAAAGACCUAGAAGCA